AGAGUUUGAUCAUGGCUCAGAGCGAACGCUGGCGGCAGGCUUAACACAUGCAAGUCGAGCGGGCGUAGCAAUACGUCAGCGGCAGACGGGUGAGUAACGCGUGGGAACAUACCUUUUGGUUCGGAACAACACAGGGAAACUUGUGCUAAUACCGGAUAAGCCCUUACGGGGAAAGAUUUAUCGCCGAAAGAUUGGCCCGCGUCUGAUUAGCUAGUUGGUGAGGUAACGGCUCACCAAGGCGACGAUCAGUAGCUGGUCUGAGAGGAUGAUCAGCCACAUUGGGACUGAGACACGGCCCAAACUCCUACGGGAGGCAGCAGUGGGGAAUAUUGGACAAUGGGCGCAAGCCUGAUCCAGCCAUGCCGCGUGAGUGAUGAAGGCCCUAGGGUUGUAAAGCUCUUUUGUGCGGGAAGAUAAUGACGGUACCGCAAGAAUAAGCCCCGGCUAACUUCGUGCCAGCCGCCGCGGUAAUAC
rnacentral:rRNA from 1 species